AUUGAACGCUGGCGGCAUGCUUUACACAUGCAAGUCGAACGGCAGCACGGGCUUCGGCCUGGUGGCGAGUGGCGAACGGGUGAGUAAUAUAUCGGAACGUACCCAGAAGUGGGGGAUAACGUAGCGGAAGUUACGCUAAUACCGCAUACGAUCUAUGGAUGAAAGCAGGGGACCGCAAGGCCUUGUGCUCCUGGAGCGGCCGAUAUCUGAUUAGCUAGUUGGUGAGGUAAAGGCUAACCAAGGCGACGAUCAGUAGCUGGUCUGAGAGGACGACCAGCCACACUGGAACUGAGACACGGUCCAGACUCCUACGGGAGGCAGCAGUGGGGAAUUUUGGACAAUGGGCGCAAUCCUGAUCCAGCAAUGCCGCGUGAGUGAAGAAGGCCUUCGGGUUUUAAAGCUCUUUUGUCAGGGAAGAAACGGUAGAGGCUAAUAUCCUUUGCUAAUGACGGUACCUGACGAAUAAGCACCGGCUAACUACGUG
rnacentral:rRNA from 1 species